rnacentral:rRNA from 1 species
GCGCCCGACCUCCAACCCUUUGUUGUUAAAACUACCUUGUUGCUUUGGCGGGACCGCUCGGUCUCGAGCCGCUGGGGAUUCGUCCCAGGCGAGCGCCCGCCAGAGUUAAACCAAACUCUUGUUAUUAAACCGGUCGUCUGAGUUAAAAUUUUGAAUAAAUCAAAACUUUCAACAACGGAUCUCUUGGUUCUCGCAUCGAUGAAGAACGCAGCGAAAUGCGAUAAGUAAUGUGAAUUGCAGAAUUCAGUGAAUCAUCGAAUCUUUGAACGCACAUUGCGCCCCUUGGUAUUCCGAGGGGCAUGCCUGUUCGAGCGUCAUUACACCACUCAAGCUAUGCUUGGUAUUGGGUGCCGUCCUUAGUUGGGCGCGCCUUAAAGACCUCGGCGAGGCCUCACCGGCUUUAGGCGUAGUAGAAUUUAUUCGAACGUCUGUCAAAGGAGAGGACUUCUGCCGACUGAAACCUUUUAUUUUUCUAGGUUGACCUCGGAUCAGGUAGGGAUACCCGCUGAACUUAAGCAUAUCAAUAAGCGGAGGA